AAAACAUUUAUUUGCAAAGAGACAAUUUAAAGCUUUUGAAACAGCGAAAUGUUUUUUGUUUGAUUGCUAAACGUCUUUACACUAAUAUUACUCAGCUUCACUUGGAUUGUGAAAUACGACAAAAGAUUCAUCGCAUGAUUUUGCCCUUCCUUGAGUUUAAGGAGGAUGAAAUUGAUGCUGAAGCUUAUAAUUGUGAGAGUGUGAUAUCAUCUGAUGACGUUAAUCCGACCUAUAUGUAUGGACUGGACAAAAUAGAAUCUUUCAUUAAAUCCAAGGACCAUAAGGACAUGCUUAAAAACCUUUUGGAUGAAAAUGAUAGACUUAAACUGAGAACUGAAACCAUACAAAAAUUUGACUCUUUUGAACUCUAACUUGAGCUCAGAAAACAAAAUUGAUGUUGAAAAUGCAUCUGAGCUUAAUGAGGAUGACAAUAUGAGUGAAAUUUCUGUAGAGGACACGGUUGACUGCUCAGAAUUUGUGAAAAGCGAACCUGAAAACCACAAGAAUCUAAUUUCAGAAAAUUCAGUGGAAUUCGCUCGAUUGUCCCAACAAAAGUCCCCGAUCCUAGCAGAGAAAGCCGUUGUGUAUCAAAAGGUUAGGACCACUCCAAAUCAAGUGUACAAGGUCACCGGAGUAACCGAACAUCAAACUGCUGAACUCACAGCAAUUGUAAACGAAGAAAAUGCUGAUGGCUGCGAUGAGUUUUUCUGGUCAGCUCCAAUCGAUAAUGCUGAUGAAACGGUAGGGUUAUCAGAAAGAACCUCAUGGAAAAGUAAAGGCAGAUACGUACCGGAACCCUUGAACAAGCCAGAUAAUUUUGAUGUGCCAUGUACUAGUGGUACGAAAGACAUUCCUCAAGAAAAUGGAAGUUCGGCAAAAGAAGAUACUCCAUCUGGUGAAACUUCCUCAGUUCAAAGUGAACCAGCUAAAGAAAAACCGAAACCGAAAGCCAACAUCCAUCAUCAACCGAAGCAGAUGAGGAAUCAGAAACGUCAAAGGAAUCAGAGAUACAGGAAGAAUCUCUCUGAAAGAAAACAGUUCUGGCAAUCCCAGAAUGCUUAUUUCUCACAUCAAGACAAGAACCUGAAGUAUGAGAAAAAUCCUAUUGAAAUGCACGAGAGCCACAACAACCGAAAGCAAAGGUUCAGUUCAGAAAAGAACUCCAACCGAAAGCAAAGGUUCGGUUCUGAAAUCAAGAGAGAUCAAAACUCUAAGGUCAAUCCCACCAAUGAUCAAAAGCAAAAGGGACACCUAGAGUCUCCAGCCAAGAAGUCAUAUCAAUCUAAGCCCUCUCAUUCUCACUCAGCUAAUUCUUCUAAUUCUUCCAAUUCCUCUCCACCUUGUUCUAAAUUCCACUAUGUUCCUUCUCAAAAAUCUCAAUAUCUCUCUGAAAGAAAACAGUUCUGGCAAUCCCAGAAUGCUUAUUUCUCACAUCAAGACAAGAACCUGAAGUAUGAGAAAAAUCCUAUUGAAAUGCACGAGAGCCACAACAACCGAAAGCAAAGGUUCAGUUCAGAAAAGAACUCCAACCGAAAGCAAAGGUUCGGUUCUGAAAUCAAGAGAGAUCAAAACUCUAAGGUCAAUCCCACCA
rnacentral:lncRNA from 1 species